GAUGAACGCUGGCGGCGUGCCUAAUACAUGCAAGUCGAGCGAACGGACGAGAAGCUUGCUUCUCUGAUGUUAGCGGCGGACGGGUGAGUAACACGUGGAUAACCUACCUAUAAGACUGGGAUAACUUCGGGAAACCGGAGCUAAUACCGGAUAAUAUUUUGAACCGCAUGGUUCAAAAGUGAAAGACGGUCUUGCUGUCACUUAUAGAUGGAUCCGCGCUGCAUUAGCUAGUUGGUAAGGUAACGGCUUACCAAGGCAACGAUGCAUAGCCGACCUGAGAGGGUGGUAGGCCACACGGGAGCUGAGACAGGGUCCAGACUCCUACGGGAGGCAGCAGUAGGGAAUCUGCCGCAAUGGGCGAAAGCCUGACGGAGCAACGCCGCGUGAGUGAUGGAGGUCUUCGGAUCGUAAAACUCUGUUAUUAGGGAAAAACAUAUGUGUAAGUAACUGUGCACAUCUUGACGGUACCUAAUCAGAAAGCCACGGCUAACUACGUG
rnacentral:rRNA from 1 species